rnacentral:rRNA from 1 species
GAUGAACGCUGGCGGCGUGCCUAAUACAUGCAAGUCGAGCGAACGGACGAGAAGCUUGCUUCUCUGAUGUUAGCGGCGGACGGGUGAGUAACACGUGGAUAACCUACCUAUAAGACUGGGAUAACUUCGGGAAACCGGAGCUAAUACCGGAUAAUAUUUUGAACCGCAUGGUUCAAAAGUGAAAGACGGUCUUGCUGCCACUUAUAGAUGGAUCCGCGCUGCAUUAGCUAGUUGGUAAGGUAACGGCUUACCAAGGCAACGAUGCAUAGCCGACCUGCGAGGGUGAUCGGCCACACUGGAACUGAGACACGGUCCAGACUCCGACGGGAGGCAGCAGUAGGGAAUCUUCCGCAAUGGGCGAAAGCCUGACGGAGCAACGCCGCGUGAGUGAUGAAGGUCUUCGGAUCGUAAAACUCUGUUAUUAGGGAAGAACAUAUGUGUAAGUAACUGUGCACAUCUUGACGGUACCGAAUCAGAAAGCCACGGCUAACUACGU